GAGUUUGAUCGUGGCUCAGGAUGAACGCUGGCGGCGUGCUUAACACAUGCAAGUCGAACGAAGCACUUUAUUACGAUUUCUUCGGAAUGACGAUUUAGUGACUGAGUGGCGGACGGGUGAGUAACGCGUGGGUAACCUGCCUCAUACAGGGGGAUAACAGUUGGAAACGGCUGCUAAUACCGCAUAAGCACACAGCAUCGCAUGGUGCAGUGUGAAAAACUCCGGUGUAUGAGAUGGACCCGGUCU
rnacentral:rRNA from 1 species